UGCCAUUGUGUGCCUGUGUGGAGUGUGUC
rnacentral:piRNA from 1 species